rnacentral:rRNA from 1 species
UGGGGAAUAUUGGACAACGGGCGGAAGCCUGAUCCAGCAACGCCGCGUGAGGGAUGACGGCCUUCGGGUUGUAAACCUCUUUCAGUACCGACGAAGCGAAAGUGACGGUAGGUACAGAAGAAGGACCGGCCAACUACGUGCCAGCAGCCGCGGUAAUACGUAGGGUCCGAGCGUUGUCCGGAAUUAUUGGGCGUAAAGGGCUCGUAGGCGGUUUGUCGCGUCGGGAGUGAAAACAGCGGGCUUAACUCGUUGCUUGCUUUCGAUACGGGCAGACUAGAGGUAUGCAGGGGAGAAUGGAAUUCCUGGUGUAGCGGUGAAAUGCGCAGAUAUCAGGAGGAACACCGGUGGCGAAGGCGGUUCUCUGGGCAUUACCUGACGCUGAGGAGCGAAAGUGUGGGGAGCGAACAGGAUUAGAUACCCUGGUAGUCCACACCGUAAACGUUGGGCGCUAGGUGUGGGGUCCUUUCCACGGAUUCCGUGCCGUAGCUAACGCAUUAAGCGCCCCGCCUGGGGAGUACGGCCGCAA